UACGGGGGGGCAAGCGUUGUUCGGAAUUACUGGGCGUAAAGGGCGCGUAGGCGGCCAGCACAAGUCGGUUGUGAAAUCUCCGGGCUUAACUCGGAAAGGUCAACCGAUACUGCGGGGCUAGAGUGCAGAAGGGGCAACUGGAAUUCUCGGUGUAGCGGUGAAAUGCGUAGAUAUCGAGAGGAACACCUGCGGCGAAGGCGGGUUGCUGGGCUGACACUGACGCUGAAGUGCGAAAGCUAGGGGAGCGAACGGG
rnacentral:rRNA from 1 species